GAUGAACGCUGGCGGCGUGCCUAAUACAUGCAAGUCGAGCAAAUGAUGAGGAGCUUGCUCCUCUGAUUUAGCGGCGGACGGGUGAGUAACACGUGGGUAACCUGCCUGUAAGAUGGGGAUAACUCCGGGAAACCGGGGCUAAUACCGAAUAAUAAAAGAGGAAGCAUUUCUUCUUUUUGAAAGUUGGUUUCGGCUAACACUUACAGAUGGGCCCGCGGCGCAUUAGCUAGUUGGUGAGGUAACGGCUCACCAAGGCGACGAUGCGUAGCCGACCUGAGAGGGUGAUCGGCCACACUGGGACUGAGACACGGCCCCGACUCCUACGGGAGGCAGCAGUAGGGAAUCUUCGGCAAUGGGCGAAAGCCUGACCGAGCAACGCCGCGUGAGCGAGGAAGGCCUUCGGGUCGUAAAGCUCUGUUGUCAGGGAAGAACAAGUACGAGAGUAACUGCUCGUACCUUGACGGUACCUGACCAGAAAGCCACGGCUAACUACGUGCCAGCCGCCGCCGUAACAC
rnacentral:rRNA from 1 species